GUCGGAGCUGCCCGCCAGUCAACAGUCGUCGGAGCUGCCCGCCAGUCAACAGUCGUCGGAGCUGCCCGCCAGUCAACAGUCGUCGGAGCUGCCCGCCAGUCAACAGUCGUCGGAGCUGCCCGCCAGUCAACAGUCGUCGGAGCUGCCCGCCAGUCAACAGUCGUCAGAGCUGCCCGCCAGUCAACAGUCGCCGGAGUGGCCGGACUGCGCUGAACUGCCGGAGUGGCCGGACUGCGCUGAACUGCCGGAGUGGCCGGACUGCGCUGAACUGCCGGAGUGGCCGGACUGCGCUGAACUGCCGGAGUGGCCGGACUGCGCUGAACUGCCGGAGUGGCCGGACUGCCCUGAACUGCCGGAGUGGCCGGACUGCCCUGAACUGCCGGAGUGGCCGGACUGCCCUGAACUGCCGGAGUGGCCGGACUGCCCUGAACUGCCGGAGUGGCCGGACUGCCCUGAACUGCCGGAGUGGCCGGACUGCCCUGAACUGCCGGAGUGGCCGGACUGCCCUGAACUGCCGGCGUGGCCGGACUGCCCUGAACUGCCGGCGUGGCCGGACUGCCCUGAACUGCCGGAGUGGCCGGACUGCCCUGUUCUGCCGGAGUGGCCGGACUGCCCUGUUCUGCCGGAGUGGCCGGACUGCCCUGUUCUGCCGGAGUGGCCGGACUGCCCUGUUCUGCCGGAGUGGCCGGACUGCCCUGUUCUGCCGGAGUGGCCGGACUGCCCUGUUCUGCCGGAGUGGCCGGACUGCCCUGUUCUGCCGGAGUGGCCGGACUGCCCUGUUCUGCCAGAGUGGCCGGACUGCCCGGUUCUGCCAGAGGUGCCCGCCUGCCCUGAUCUGCCAGGGUGCCCGGCCUGUCAGGAUCAGCCCGAGUGGUCCUCCUGCCCUCCGGUCCAGCCCGAGUGGUCCUCCUGCCCUCCGGUCCAGCCCGAGUGGUCCUCCUGCCCUCCGGUCCAGCCCGAGUGGUCCUCCUGCCCUCCGGUCCAGCCCGAGUGGUCCUCCUGCCUUCCGGCCCAGCCCGAGUGGCCCGCAUGCCUUCCGGCCCAGCCCGAGUGGCCCGCAUGCCUUCCGGCCCAGCCCGAGUGGCC
rnacentral:lncRNA from 1 species